AGUCCCCGUUUUAAAAUCCUCUUCGAAAAUAGCAAUCGCGGGCGAACUUCUGGCCUUCGCUUAAUUCUCUUUUCAUUCUGCAAUGUUAUCAAAAAGUUAGGGCUAGCAUGUUCCUCUUCAAAAGAUGAAGUUAGAUCAGUUGCUGAAGAGAAAAUUCCUGUCUCGUUUCUUGAGAGGAGGCUGAGCAUCGGAUCAAACCCCUCUGUUUCUUGAGAGAUGGCGAAAUUUGCAGCCGAAACGACAAGAUAUUUUGAGAUUUCAAUGUCCCGUUAUUAAUUCUGGAGAUGGAUGAGUCCAAGAUCACUCUCCCAGUUCUUGAGAGACUGGGAUUUCACAGGCUCAAUGAAGCCUAGCUUUCAGAAAAGACCAUAAAACAGAAAGGGAGUUGAAAGCUCUGAGGUUUCCCACAGCUGAAACAGGGGAAAUUUUAUUUACUGUGUUAAUAGGUCUCACCCUUUUUGGCAGAAACUGGUGUAUGACUAAAUGUAAUUUAUUGUGUGUUCCACUGCAAAGAUACUUCCCCAUCACAAGCAGGCUGAUGUUCAUGGUUAUGGAAUCUGCUUUAGAGAACUCCUGGGAAGGUUUAAAGUUCUUGUUUGCUGAAGAGACUUACAGGCUGGAUCUGAUCAUGACAAAAUAAUCCACAUCGUUCAGAAGUUCUGGAGCAAAACUUGUUACUCCAGGAUUAGGCUCAAACAGUACGUACUCUAACGAAACAGUAUUUGGGCUUCCUUUAUAAGCGAAGUAAGGGUAAGCAUUUA